rnacentral:rRNA from 1 species
AUUGAACGCUGGCGGCAUGCCUUACACAUGCAAGUCGAACGGUAACGGGCCUUCGGGUGCCGCCGAGUGGCGCACGGGUGAGUAAUACAUCGGAACGUGCCCGAUCGUGGGGGAUAACGAGGCGAAAGCUUUGCUAAUACCGCAUACGAUCUACGGAUGAAAGCAGGGGACCGCAAGGCCUUGCGCGGACGGAGCGGCCGAUGGCAGAUUAGGUAGUUGGUGGGAUAAAAGCUUACCAAGCCGACGAUCUGUAGCUGGUCUGAGAGGAUGAUCAGCCACACUGGGACUGAGACACGGCCCAGACUCCUACGGGAGGCAGCAGUGGGGAAUUUUGGACAAUGGGCGCAAGCCUGAUCCAGCCAUGCCGCGUGCAGGAUGAAGGCCUUCGGGUUGUAAACUGCUUUUGUACGGAACGAAAAGCCUUCUUUUAAUACAGGAGGGUCAUGACGGUACCGUAAGAAUAAGCACCGGCUAACUACGUG